AAUGCGCGUCCUAUCAUGCAGUCGAACGCAGCGGCCGUGUGCCGGCUGCGUGGCGAACGGCUGAGGAACACGUGGGUGACCACCCCCGGAGUGGGGGAUACCCCGUCGAAAGACGGGACAAUCCCGCAUACGCUCUACGGAGGAAAGCCGCAACGGCGCUCCGGGACGGGCCUGCGGCCCAUCAGGUAGUUGGUGUGGUAACGGCGCACCAAGCCAGUGACGGGUACCCGGUCUGAGAGGACGGCCGGGCAGACUGGGACUGCGACACGGCCCAGACUCCUACGGGAGGCAGCAGCAAGGAAUUUUCCCCAAUGGGCGCAAGCCUGAGGGAGCAACGCCGCGUGGAGGACGACGGCCUUCGGGUUGUAAACUCCUUUCGGGUGGGACGAGCAUGACGGUACCACCAGAAGCAGCCCCGGCUAACUCUGUGCCAGCAGCCGCGGUAAGACAGAGGGGGCAAGCGUUGUCCGGAGUUACUGGGCGUAAAGGGCGCGGAGGCGGCCUGCUGCGUCGGCGCUGAAAGCGCCCCGCUUAACGGGGCGAGGCGCGCCGAUACGAGCAGGCUCGAGGCGAGCAGAGGGUGGUGGAAUUCCGGGUGGAGCGGUGAAAUGCGUAGAGAUCCGGAGGAACGCCGGUGGAGCAGUCGGCCACCUGGGCUC
rnacentral:rRNA from 1 species